GUGUGUUAUUACUUUUAAAAAUCAGACAAUGCCGUGUUCAGCCCUAACAAAGUCAGAACUCGUUCAGUCACCUACUCGAGAGCUUUAACAGCCCCAAGUCUAUUAAAAAAAACCAAAAAUGAUCCUUCCGCAGGUUCACCUACGGAAA
rnacentral:misc_RNA from 1 species